UAAAAACAUAACAGCCUCUUAGCAACUUAUCCUCCCUCUUCAUUAACGAGUCACUACCAUAAUAACUGAGGCUAUUUGAAUGGUCUUGAUUAACCAUUCUAUUAGUUGCCAGCCAUUCUGUAACAAUCGCAUCACCACUCACUUGCGACUGAAACCUGAAGUUUGUUACGGCGUAGAUCUUCUCGGGCUAAAAUAUUCACGUGUUUAUCCACGAGAUUUUUCAAAAGCUCAAAUAUAGAGGUAGAAGUGUUGGUUGAUUGGAUGUAUGCGGUACUUUACGUGUGUGUGUGUGUGUGUGUGUGUGUGACUCAUGGCUGAAGGUUGUAGCUGCCUGAACCAGUUAUUAUAGGACUUCUCUCUCUCUCUCUCUCUCUCUCUCUCUCUCUCUCUCUCUCUCUCUCUCUCUCUCUCUCUCUCUCUUAUCAGUGGGGCGACAGCUGCGAUAAGUUUUAAAAUAAAUCCCUCACUCCAUGGAAACACUUACCAGAAAUGAACAGAGAAAAAAAUAUAUCCAUACUACAAUGUGUAGUAAACAGAUGGUAUAUUUGGUAAGGAAACCAAAGGAAAUAUUGCCAUAAAUAGUGCCACACAACCCUCAGUGGCCUGUGAUGUGAAACUGUCCCAUGUUUGUUCGUGUUGUGUUUUUAUUUAUUUAUUUAUUUAUUUAUUUAUUUAUUAUUAUUAUUAUUUUUUUUUACUUUUCUUUAUCCUUAAUUUACUUAUGUACCUACGCGAAGUUAUGAACUGAAAUACUUCAAAUAGCACAAUCAUGUAGUGUGGUGAUGGGAAAUGUUUAAAAUUGAGAGGAAGUGUUUAGAGUGCAGGCUUUCAAGGCACGUGCCAACUACCACACGUGUCAGACAGGGCCGCAGCCUUACCUCGAGCCACCACUUGUGCCCUGCUCAACCCGAAUGUCAUCUGAAGAGAGAAACUGAUUGGUAGCUGAAAGAUACAAAAAUUCAUAAUAAGUUUUUUUUUCUUUUUUUUUUUCUCUUUUUUUUUUUUUUUUUUUUACUGUUACUUAUGAGCAUGUGCAAUUUCUUUUACGAAAAUGCCUACAUGAUGAGUAACCUCGCAUAUAUCAGUUCAAGGAAAGAUAUACGAGUUUACCUUCGGUAUACUACAUGGAAUAGUUCCUUUGCUGUACGUACAGUGUCUUGUCAGGUGAGUAUGGGAGGCGGGGGAACAACACUACGGGGCCACGGCCACCACUGUUUGUUUUUGAUACUGACGUCAUGCAGUGAUACACACCAACCAUAACCCUGUUACCAAAGAACCGUCAGGCAGCGAAUCAGAAGAGGGAUUGCGUGGCGUCUGGGAGUGUUUAAACAACAUAUCGACCAAUGAGAAGAAGGUUGUGUGGCUCAGGCAGCCCUUAAAAGACACGUGCGCAUGUCCCGUGCGCCAUCACUCCUCUGGAAGCGAAGGUAAACAGGUAUUACGCCUGCUCUCAUUGUACGUAGUUCUAUAUUUGUGUGUCACAUCUCCAUCAUGUCGGACGCUUACUUCGAUAAGUACGACCACUACAACUUCGACGAGAAGCUGGUGCAUUCGCGGGGUAGUGGGAAGAACAGGACGAAGAUGGAGGCGGAGCAGAACAAGCACCAUGAAACGGACGGACACACCAGGAAGAUUGUCAAUAACAUGAAGAAUAACAUCACCAACAACAGGAUAGCUGAGAACACGAGCAUAAAACACUAAGUGUGGCUCUAUCCGUAAUAUGGUGAUAAUUGUCAAUCGAACCAAAGCGUAGAAUUCUGGACCUGGACGUGGACCGCCUUUGGGAUGAGUAUGGGACCACAGCUGCCGUCUUUGUGACUAAGCUCUGCUGGUAGGAGGCUGACGGUGUCCCGCACCUCACCACCUCAUCAUGACUUACAGGAAUUCAUGGAGGUUGUUAUGUUCCAGUUAAGUUUAGCGGAGUUACGUACAUGUACUGCCAAUCUGAAUACACCGCCCCCACUUCCCUUCGAGUCAGCCUCUCGCUAGGCAGCCCUAGCCGGGCAGCAGUCAUCCCUUGUCUUAUUUAAGUUACGUAGCUCUUGUGCUAUUGGCAGUUUUUUUUUUUUUUAGGGUACUUUUUAAUGGAAACGGUGUAUCAGAAGUAGAUUGCAAUGGUGUAAGCUGAGAGAGUAACACCUUGAGGCUCGCGAGGGAUUCUGUUGACCUGAUACGCUAUUGUUGAAGUGCGUGCUGGUGGCUGUGUUGUGUUGCCAGUAGCCAAUGAGCUUCUUUCCCUGUUGUGAUGAAUAAAGUGGUUUUGUAAAAUACUUAA